GCUCCAAUAGCGUAUACUAAAGUUGUUGCAGUUAAAAAGCUCGUAGUUGGAUUCUAUACUCUCUUCUGGGGUUCCUUUUCUAAAGAAUUGCGCGACCAUUCAAGAGAGAUUAUCCUCGUGCCUAGCCUUUCUCACUUUCAUUAGUCAGGAAGGGGACGCACGUCAUUUACUGUGAGCAAAAUAGAGUGUUCAAAGCAGGC
rnacentral:rRNA from 1 species